rnacentral:tRNA from 1 species
GGAAGCGUAUCGAAGUGGUCAUAACGGGCCUGACUCGAAAUCAGGUAGCCCGCAAGGGCUCGUGGGUUCGAAUCCCACCGCUUCCGCCA